AAGCCAUUCUUAAAGCAAUGGGCUUCAUGUAUCUGAAUUCCCUGAAGGAGAGUUCUGGGGACACCAAAUCAUCAGAGGAAUGUGGCAAUGCUGAAGUUACUCAUGAUACCCAUACCACCUUUUCAAUAGAGGAAUAGUAUGAUCUCAUCUUAAGUGACAUGAACCAGUAGAAUGUGUACAGAAACUGGAAAAGUUCUUGAGACCAAUCAACAAUACAAAGAACGGAAAACAUGUCUGUGAAGUCUGAUAAAAGCUAGCAAGAGAGAAGAGAAGGGGCAGUUGACUUCCCUGAGCUGGGACAAACAGCCACAACGAGCAGAUGAGAAACAACAGAGCAAUGAAGCCUCUUCAGAAAUUUCGUGACAUGGAAUUUGAACCACUUGGAUGGAGGAGAAGUGUCAUUGUCUAAUGGCACCAACAUCAUAGGUUUGUGGGUAUUUGCUCCAUUGUGCCCAAAAUAAACUCAGUGUCUUCUCAGUCUCUA
rnacentral:lncRNA from 1 species